rnacentral:rRNA from 1 species
AGGACAAACGCUGGCGGCGUACCUAAGACAUGCAAGUCGAACGGAUUGCGUAUCUUCGGAUGUGCAGUGAGUGGCGAACGGGUGAGUAACGCGUAGGAACCCGCCUCGACGUGGGGGAUAACACUUGGAAAACAGGUGCUAAUACCGCAUGUGGUCGAGAGAAGAAAGGCUUGAGCAAUCAAGUCGCGUUGAGAGGGGCCUGCGUCCGAUUAGCUAGUUGGUGGGGUAACGGCUUACCAAGGCGACGAUCGGUAGCUGGUCUGAGAGGAUGGUCAGCCACACUGGGACUGAGACACGGCCCAGACUCCUACGGGAGGCAGCAGUUAGGAAAUUUUGCCAAUGGGGGAAACCCUGAGCGAGUAACGCCGCGUGGAGGACGAAGGCCUUCGGUUGUAAACUCCUUUUCUGUGGGACGAUGAUGACGGUACCACGAGGAAGAAGCCCGGCUAACUACGCGCCAGCAGCCGC